CCCAGACUCCUACGGGAGGCAGCAGUGGGGAAUAUUCCACAAUGGGGGAAACCCUGAUGCAGCGACGCCGCGUGAGUGAAGAAGUAUUUCGGUAUGUAAAGCUCUCUCAGCAGGGAAGAUAAUGACGGUACCUGACUAAGAAGCCCCGGCUAACUACGUGCCAGCAGCCGCGGUAAUACGUAGGGGGCAAGCGUUAUCCGGAAUUACUGGGUGUAAAGGGAGCGUAGACGGUGAAGUAAGUCUGGAGUGAAAGGCGGGGGCCCAACCCCCGGACUGCUCUGGAAACUAUUUGACUGGAGUGCAGGAGAGGUAAGCGGAAUUCCUAGUGUAGCGGUGAAAUGCGUAGAUAUUAGGAGGAACACCAGUGGCGAAGGCGGCUUACUGGACUGUAACUGACGUUGAGGCUCGAAAGCGUGGGGAGCAAACAGGAUUAGAUACCCCCGUAGC
rnacentral:rRNA from 1 species